UGGGGAAUAUUGGUAAUGGGCGAAAGCCUGACGCAGCGACGCCUCGUGAGGGAUGAAGGUCUCCGGAUCGUAAACCUCUGUCAAGAGGGAAGAAACCCUUGGAUUCGAACAGGGUCCUUGGCUGACGGUACCUCAAAAGGAAGCACCGGCUAACUCCGUGCCAGCAGCCGCGGUAAUACGGAGGGUGCAAGCGUUAAUCGGAAUCACUGGGCGUAAAGCGCUCGUAGGCGGUUUGGUCAGUCAGAUGUGAAAGCCCUCGGCUCAACCGGGGAACUGCAUUUGAUACUGCCAGACUUGAGUGUCGGAGAGGGUGGCGGAAUUCCGGGUGUAGGAGUGAAAUCCGUAGAUAUCCGGAGGAACACCAGUGGCGAAGGCGGCCACCUGGACGACAACUGACGCUGAGGAGCGAAAGCGUGGGGAGCAAACA
rnacentral:rRNA from 1 species